rnacentral:lncRNA from 10 species
AUGCCUUGGGGUUUCAAGAGGAAGAGAUUGAGGGGAACCUGGGAGCUGGCUGGGCAGGGUGGGGAGCCCUUCCCAGAGCAGUGGGCCCCCCUUUCCACUCCAGCCCAUUUCUCUCCUGUGGCCUGUGGCUCAGCUUUCUCCUGGGACAGAGUCCUUCCUGUGGGGAAGGGACAGAUGACAGGGGGAGUGGGGGGAUGAGGGCGUGGCCGUGGGCGAGGCACAGCCCAGGUUUGAUCUAGGGACCUCUGGGGUAGCAGGGCUUGGGGACCCACCUGACCACAGCAUGCCCUGCUCUGUGCCUCACAGAACUACAGGAUCUCAUGCACAUCUCACGGGCCCGGAAGCCAGCGUUCAUCCUGGGCUCCAUGAGGGACGAGAAGCGGACAUGCAGAACCUGAGCCCCUGAGAGGUGAAGUGACUUGCUCAAGGUCACACGGACCACGACCACCUGCUGUGCCUGGAUGGAGGAGGAGUGAAAGGCCUCAUCAUCAUCCAGCUCCUCAUCGCCAUCGAGAAGGCCUCGGGUGUGGCCACCAAGGACCUGUUUGACUGGGUGGCGGGCACCAGCACUGGAGGCAUCCUGGCCCUGGCCAUUCUGCACAGUAAGUCCAUGGCCUACAUGCGCGGCAUGUACUUUCGCAUGAAGGAUGAGGUGUUCCGGGGCUCCAGGCCCUACGAGUCGGGGCCCCUGGAGGAGUUCCUGAAGCGGGAGUUUGGGGAGCACACCAAGAUGACGGACGUCAGGAAACCCAAGGUCUUGCUGUGGGGCCCAUGCUGGAGUAUAUUGCUGUGAACACGGCUUACUGCAGCCUCGACCUCCUGGGUUCAAGCAGUCCUCC